rnacentral:rRNA from 1 species
UACGGGAGGCAGCAGUGGGGAAUAUUGCACAAUGGGCGAAAGCCUGAUGCAGCUAUGCCGCGUGUAUGAAGAAGGCCUUAGGGUUGUAAAGUACUUUCAUCGGGGAGGAAAAACAAAACUAAUAAUUUUAUUUCUUGACGUUACCCGAAAAAGAAGCACCGGUUAACUCCGUGCCAGCAGCCGCGGUAAUACGGAGGGUGCUAGCGUUAAUCAGAAUUACUGGGCGUAAAGAGCACGUAGGUGGUUUUUUUAAGUUCAGAUGUGAAAUCCCUGGGCUUAACCUAGGAACUGCAUUUUGAAACUGAAAUACUAGAGUAUCGUAGAGGGAGGUAGAAUUCUAGGUGUAGCGGUGAAAUGCGUAGAUAUCUGGAGGAAUACCUGUGGCGAAAGCGGCCUCCUAAACGAAUACUGACACUGAGGGUGCGAAAGCGUGGGGAGCAAACAGGGAUUAGAUACC